GAUGUUGACUAAGUGGGGCUCCUUGUAGGCUGGGUAAUAUGUGUCUCUUAUAUAAUGAGUUGGCUUAAACUCGGAACGGAAGCAAUGGGGUUAUUUCACUGGAAUUACUGUAACAAGGUACUGUAAACUAGGUGGCGUAAAUCGUAGAGAUCUACUGUUUUCCAGUCUGGGCAAGCCGUGAGUAGGUCGGGUCAUCUUUGGCAUUCCGUGCCUUGUCGUCUCCCGAUCUCUGCUUUCAUCUUCACCUGGCGUUAUCCCAGGUCCCCCGGUACAUAGUUGUGCAUUCUUCGCUGUGGGUUCUUCCAGCUGUGGCAUGUGGGACACCGCCCCAGCGUGGUCCGAUGAGCAGUGCCAUGUCCGCGCCCAGGAUUCGAACCAACGAAACACUGGGCCACCUGCAGCGGAGCGCGCGAACUUAACCACUCGGCCACGGGGCCAGCCCCUUGUGUUUCCUUUUUUAAACAGCUUCAUUGAUGUAAUUCACAGACCAUAAAAUUCACCCAUUUAAAAUAUGCAAGUCAAGAGUUUUUGUAUAUUCAUAGAUAUGUAAAUCAUCAUAGUCACUUUUAGAACAUUUUCAUCACCUCAGAAAGAAACCCCAUGCUUUAGCUAUCAUCCCCUAUCGCAUCCUUCCCAGCCUUAAUCAACUGCUAAUCCACUCUCUCUGUAUAGAGAUUUGGCUAUUAUGGACAUUUCAUAUAAAUGGAAUCAUACAAUAUGCGGCCUUUUGUAUC
rnacentral:lncRNA from 1 species